AGACGACCACGGAAGCUGUCGGAGCGUUCGCACGCGACGCCGAGAUACGGACCGAUCGGAAUUCGCCCCCUCCACACAACUUCGAGCGAUAUAACUACGGCAGAAGUCCGUUUCUAAACGCGGAAAGAAAAAACGAAAACGAAGUAGCGAUUUUGGAAGAACCGGGCAGAUUUUUGGUCUGCAAAGCCACGCGAGGAAUGUGGUCGGCACGGGCGAGAAACAAAGGGCCGGCGCGGCCCAUUCAGGGCUAUCGCAACGGCGGCCGCGCGGAGUGCCUGACGUCAGCGGCGAGGAGGAAGGCGCCUAUAGGAUCCCGGCCCGGCCGCCGAGGUCGUCACAGGGCCGGCAACGCCGUACUUCGACCGCGACGCUCUUCCUGGUCCCGACACCGUCAACGCAGUCCGCAAACCCGUCCACCCUUGUCCACACAGCGUCGCACAGGAGACCGGCAUGGCGCAUCUGGAGCGAGCCGUCAGCUUAGUGCUUCUACUCCUCACCUGGAUGGUGCUGCACGACCAGUCCACCGCAGUCCCGGUGGCGGCCACCUCGCCACGGAGGACAUCGCACGACGUGCUGGGUCAGUGCUUCCCGGGCACCUACGUGCUCGAACUGUGCCAGAGCUGCGCCAAGCUGACCAAGCUGUCCAAGGCGUACCGCAUGUGCUGCAACGACGACCCCGGCAACAGCACCGAGUCCGUGCGGUCCUUCUGCGAGCGCCUGCUGCGGCACUCGCCGUGAGCCGUCGCAAGGAGAGGGCCACGGCAAGAGUCCGCGGUGAUCGUCUUUGAAUUCCAUCUCGUUGCGAGUGGCAGUGCUGGACCGAACCACUGCUCGGUUGGCCUACGUCUGUGAACCUUCGCAGCACGGGAUACAGAUCAAGUUGGGAUGCGUUCGGCUGCUUGAGACUAUAUGGUGGACGAGAAGAAGGAAUUCUACCUCGAUGACGUGGAGUUGCCUCACGCUCUGUGUACAGCUGGAGAGAAUUUGAGAGGCAGUUACCGGGCGGCAACAGGAAAGAUGCUGUACCGGAACCGACCAGCGGCAUGACGUCUUCAACAUAGUGCUCAUAGAGGGAGCAGUCUAAGGCCAACCGAGCACGCCAUUCAAAUGCACACGCUCCUGCGGGCGUCCGCGGGUUGCUUCGCGGAGCAAUGAGCACGAAAAUGAGCAGCGACUCCAUGACAGUGCUCCGGCUCACCUUACGUGCGAGCCAAGCCAAAGCUACAGGAGCGAACCGCAUAGCCGCGUUGUGCACUUGCCACACGGUCGUGCAGUGGAAGCGGCGUUCAAGUCAACACAAUCAAGUGCGCACUUGUAGCUCUGAUUUUGCUCGCACUUGGAACGGUGUACACCAGUUUCAUAGGCUACGCGGAGUGCAAGUUGGUCUGCUUCUUGCACGGGUGUUACGAUGAUGUCAGAACGUCGAGCUCUUAUUGGCUGAUUGAAAAACAAAAUAGUGGGUUGACUUCAAGGUAUCUAGCAUUGAGGUCUACCCACUAUCCUUCCAAUCAAAACCAAUCAGAGUUGAGCGUCGUUCUGAUGUCACCGCAACUUCUGCAAAAGAAACAGACGACUUGCUUUCCGUCAGUGCUUAAAGUCAGGGGGUUGUCUUGGGGGAUCUCGAACUUCCCCACAAGUUUGACAAGGGGUAAACUUAUAAUCGUAACGAUCGAUUUUUACAACAAGACAUGAUCUGAUUUCCUUCCACACAAGUUGUGUCACGUCGUCAGGCAUUUUUGUAUCUUAUACAAAGACAUGCCGGGCUACAUUUACACACUAGUCAAGUCGGUUUUGUGUGUAUCUAGUUCGAACCCCCCUUCCUUAUAUCAAAGUUUGUAGAGACUCCCCCGCAGAUUAAGGGAGACUUUAAGCACUGCUCUCAGCAUAGCGUCCCGUGUACUUGCUAUAAGGACGCGAGCGAAAUUUUAUUUGGUGGUUUCUUGCGUUUUGUGCAUGCCACCCUCGCUGUAAUGAAUGGAUGGCGCCAAGUGCGCACACCCGGCCUAGUCAUCAUCCACUUGAGAUUUAUUUUAUACCUGCCAUUUUCUCAAAAAAGAAGAAAAAAACGACGAGGAGUGAUUGGUUGAUAUGAUAUAUUUUUUUAUGCUGCGUUGUUUCAGUGACGUUCCUCAUCCGUUUCACUGAAAUCAUAGGGCGCUGAUGUUCUCUAUUAGAGAAACAAAGGUGCAGUCACACCUCCCAUGUUUACAUCACACAAAGAGACACGAUGUUGGCGGCACACAUGACAACAGAAUUGCCCGCAGACACGCUUAUCAUGUUUUAAUCAUGUUUGAUGCAUGCAUACUUCGAGCGUGUCUGCACACAGUUUUCGCAUUAAGAAUAUGACAGGGCCACCAUACGAGGAAGAAAAAGAAAGACGCCCAGUGUUUUCUACGAUGUAUUGGCUUGAGGCGCUGGUCCCUCAGGCACUGCGUACGCGUGCUUCACUGCCAAAGCCACGAUCCCUAAUGGCCCACUUCAGAUGCAGGACUAAAGUUCGUCUGCUCCUUUUGCAGGGGUUGUGGUGACGUCAGAAAGACACCGAGCUCUGAUUGGUUCUGAUUGCAGGAUAGUGGGCAGACCUCAGGGUAGCUUGCAUCGAGGUCUACCCACUAUCCUUCAAUCAGAGCCAAUCAGAGCUCACAGUCUUUCUGACGUCACUGCGACCCCCGCUAAAGAAGCAGACGAACUUUAGUCCUGCAGAGUAACUGAUAGCUUAAGAAACGCGGGGCGUGGUUUAUUACGAUAAUGUUCACUCUCCUUGCUUCGCCAUUGGUUCUUGGUCUUUCUCACUGGCCAAUGUCGCGAGCUCGUUGGCUCUGGAGCGACAACAAGAUGCCUGGGACUUAACCACGUCCUGUCUUUCGUGAGCUGACGGGAACCAUAGAAGGCGGUUCUGAACGGAAUAUCAAAAUUGUACAGCUGCGCUCUCGAAACUCCUUUCGCCUUUAUUGAAGGUGCUUACGUAGCUGCAUUCGAGAUGGCAGAGAAGCAUCGCGGCAAGUGCCAUAACGAUGCCACAUCAGCGCGUGACAAUGCAAUUACUUCUGCUUAGUGUAUAAAUGUUUCUUCACUUUUUGUGUGUGUAUGUGUGUGAACAAACUCGCUAUGUUCAUGUGGGCACUUCCGACUUGUACAUACAGCAUGUCCCCGAAACCAAUUUAGUGUUUUUUGUUCUUGUUGUUUUUACCUGAAAAAAAAAAAAAGAAAAAGAUUACGCAUUGUUGAAUCCUAUUUAUUCGCCUAAACGUAGCGCAGUCCGGACCAGAUGCCGAAGUUUCGGAAUUAACAGUUAUCUUAGUCAGAAGUUAUGCGUGUUUUUGUAGAACUUUCAAUGGGAAAAUGGUUCCCGUUUCCGGUAGCUGAUGCCAUUCAUCGUCACGUGUUCGUAGGCUUUGUCGGCCGCCUCUUAUAUAAAGUUCUAGAAAAUUGCUUGUAACUUUUGAACCAGGUAACGGCAAGCUCAGAAACUUUGCCCUCUGGUCCAGACCGCCAGCGCUACAUAUGAUGGAAAAACUAGCGUUCGGCGUUGAUUAGUUACUUUUCUCGGUAAAAAAAAAAAAAAACAAAUGUUUUUGGGUGGACAGAGUGUAUAUUACUCGUCUGCAGUUUUGUUAAGAAUUGACAGUUUCCCGGCGAAAACUCAAACAUUAACUACCACAAACACCGCGGAAUGUAAGUGUUUUGAACAUAUUUCGGCUCGGACUCAAGCGCGCUGUCAUCACCUGACAUAACACUUUGUGCCAUCAGGGGUCAUGACCAGUGUUCAGGAAGCGCAUUUGAAGACCUCGCUAGAAUGUUGUAUUUUUAAGCCCUCGCGAGCCACUUGUCAAAACUUAUCUGCCUGUAUGAGCAACACGUGCUAAGUCGAGCUAUAGUUGGUAAAUAGAAGAGUUGUUUUUCACCGUGUCUUCUGUAUAUGAGCAACCCCUAAUGCAUGCAUGGUUCGUUGUUUUUAAUUCUGCGAAGCGGCUCUUGAAGUCAACAUGAGCCCUUUACACAACAAAAUUCUUCCUCAUCGAACGUUUGUUUCCUUCACGAGCGAGGCGCGAAACCUGGGUUCACAAGCUCGCGCUAUAACGAGCUCCAGGUCUCAGGGGAUAGCCAUGAAGCGCCCUAAUACUACGGCGCGCGGAACGCGUCUUCGCCGGGUGCGGUUAGCGUCCCACCCCUACGUCAAAAGUGCUCCCGAAGUGCCAAGAAAUGACGCCACAGAAGCCGGAGUGUUGCAUGUCGCGAUCCUGGCGGUUGGUCGUACAAAUGCUAACGACAAGCUGCGAGUUGCACAACCGAACGCGAGUGUCGCUGUCGUCACUGCGUCCCAACUUCUGGUUGUCCAAGCUUCCGUGGACUGCCACAUCGGAGAGCGCCCUGCAGCAGAACCAGGCAUCUUCCACAUACAUCCCAGCUGUUGGGACGCCACCAGGAUCGCGACCGGCGACAGCGUGACAUUUCUAUGACGUCAUCAGGCGGAAAUCGAGGGACCACUUUUUUGGAAGCGGUAAACACGCCGGUCAGAAGCAGGUUCCAGGCACCAUCCUAACACCUCUGCCGUGUGGCAGGGAUUAUAGACUCGCACAUUUCAUAACAUCAGCAUGCAUAUCAGUCGUGAAUGUCGUUUCAAAACGGAUGUAAUUAUUUUUCAUCGAAAAGAAAGGAGCAGUGUCUUCAUUUCGCACUACGACAGCAACUCUUCUCAUUCAUAAUAUACGCCAUGUGUGCGAGCAGACAUGGCUACAGUAUGACUGUGAUGUUUAGUUCUGCAACAAAACGCGUCACAUGUCGGGCUCCAAGAUGUUGAGGAUUUUAUUUUAUUUAUUGUUCCUGUUGUUCCUCUCUUGUGGUGCUCUUGUGAAUAAAAUGUGACGUGAAAAUUGUGAA